rnacentral:rRNA from 1 species
UCCGUAGGCGGGUAAUUAAGUCAGAGGUGAAAUCCCACAGCUCAACUGUGGAACUGCCUUAGAUACUGGUUAUCUUGAGUUUUAGUGAAGUAGAUAGAAUGUGUAGUGUAGCGGUGAAAUGCAUAGAUAUUACACAGAAUACCGAUUGCGAAGGCAGCCUACUAACUAACAACUGACGCUAAUGGACGAAAGCGUGGGGAGCGAACAGGAUUAGAUACCCUGGUAGUCC